GGAACGGUGUCCGAGUGGUUGAAGGAGCACGCCUGGAAAGCGUGUAUAGGGGCAACUCUAUCGAGGGUUCGAAUCCCUCCCGUUCCG
rnacentral:tRNA from 1 species